rnacentral:rRNA from 1 species
AGAUUGAACGCUGGCGGAAUGCCUUACACAUGCAAGUCGAACGGCAGCACGGGAGCAAUCCUGGUGGCGAGUGGCGAACGGGUGAGUAAUACAUCGGAACGUGCCCAAUCGUGGGGGAUAACGUAGCGAAAGCUACGCUAAUACCGCAUACGAUCUACGGAUGAAAGCAGGGGAUCGCAAGACCUUGCGCGAAUGGAGCGGCCGAUGGCAGAUUAGGUAGUUGGUGGGGUAAAGGCUCACCAAAGCCUUCGAUCUGUAGCUGGUCUGAGAGGACGACCAGCCGCACUGGGACUGAGACACGGCCCAGACUCCUACGGGAGGCAGCAGUGGGGAAUUUUGGACAAUGGGCGCAAGCCUGAUCCAGCCAUUCCGCGUGCAGGAUGAAGGCCUU